rnacentral:rRNA from 1 species
CCUACGGGAGGCAGCAGUGGGGAAUAUUGGACAAUGGGCGAAAGCCUGAUCCAGCAAUGCCGCGUGAGUGAUGAAGGCCUUAGGGUUGUAAAGCUCUUUUACCAGGGAUGAUAAUGACAGUACCUGGAGAAUAAGCUCCGGCUAACUCCGUGCCAGCAGCCGCGGUAAUACGGAGGGAGCUAGCGUUGUUCGGAAUUACUGGGCGUAAAGCGUACGUAGGCGGUUAUUCAAGUCAGAGGUGAAAGCCUGGAGCUCAACUCCAGAACUGCCUUUGAAACUAGAUAGCUAGAAUCUUGGAGAGGUGAGUGGAAUUCCGAGUGUAGAGGUGAAAUUCGUAGAUAUUCGGAAGAACACCAGUGGCGAAGGCGACUCACUGGACAAGUAUUGACGCUGAGGUACGAAAGCGUGGGGAGCAAACAGGAUUAGAUACCCUGGUAGUCCAGCCGUUAAACGAUGAUAACCUAGCUGUUCGGGCUCUACGAGCUGNGUGNGCNGCUACGCAUAGUUAUCGCCGUGGAGGUACGGUCGCGAGAUAAACUACAAGAAGUAGACGCGNGAGACGUGCGACGGACGACGACGAGGGAGUAGG